rnacentral:rRNA from 1 species
GGAGUCUGGGCCGUGUCUCAGUCCCAAUGUGGCCGUUCAACCUCUCAGUCCGGCUACUGAUCGUCGACUUGGUGAGCCGUUACCUCACCAACUAUCUAAUCAGACGCGAGCCCAUCUUCAAGUGAUAAAUCUUUGAUAAAUCUAUCAUGCGAUAAACCUAUAUUAUAGGGCAUUACCAUCCGUUUCCAGAAGCUAUUCCCCUCUUGAAGGUAGGUUGCUCACGUGUUACUCACCCGUCCGCCGCUAUGAACUCUGAAUAAAUCCAUCGUUCACCGCUCGACUUGCAUGUGUUAGGCGUGCCGCCAGCGUCGUCUCGAGCACGGAGUCAAACUACU